GCGGGUAUAGUGGAAUUGGUAAACACAUCAGGUUUAGGCCCUGAGACUCCAAGUCGUGCGGGUUCAAGUCCUGCUACCCGUA
rnacentral:tRNA from 1 species